GCUGGGUCGAGCAACGGCGCUUCGGAGACUGACCCUUUUUGUCCUCACGAUACCACUCUACUACGUCAAUGCCCCUCCUCACAUGGGCACUGGGCAGCGCCUACACCACCAUUGCUGCUAAUGCCAUCGCUCGCUAUGAGUGUCAUUGAAGCUCUCAAGGUGGAUAGUUUGCAGAAACUUUGCUCAUUAUUGGAGCCCAUACUUCGGCGUGUGGUUAGUGAACAAGUGGAGCGAGCUUUAGCAAAAUUGGGCCCCUUCAAAAUUACUAGGAGCGUUUAGGGUGAGCGACCAUGGACCUGAAUUCAAUAGCAAUUUCUCUUGAUGAUUGAAUGUCGUCUUUAAGCUCG